GGAACUUCCUUAACAUAUUGUUCUGGAACUUGUUUCAACCCAGACCCACCUUGGGGAACUAUUCCUUAAAAACAGGUCUUGAGGUAAACAUCCAGGAACUUGGCCAGUUCCUGGGUAUUGACCUGAGACAUUUUUCACAUAACACAGAUUGUUCUUGAGGUCAGAGAGUUUUGGCCAAAACUCUCAGGUCCUUAGGAUUAAUCACCUCUUCCCUGGCUCCCUGCCUUCUUUGUGUAAGGAUAACCAAAAGGGUCUUUCUUGGGAAAGUGACUUUGGGAGUCUCCCUCAGAGAGGACGCUCUGCCGUAGGGACUUUUCCAACAGAGACCGGGAGGGCUGUGAUACAGGACUCCCCCAGCCAGAUGUGCAGGAGUUGGUGCUUCCUGGGACUGAUGCAUAUACUUCAGUGAACGCCCUGGAAAGUGAGUGUAAUGCACAUGUGGAUCAUCUAGCCAAAAUAGCAACAAUAAAGCAAGAAGAUCAAGAGUAUUAUUCAUUAAUUAGCACAAUGGGCACAUUGACAAGCCGGACACCUUGGAGUCCAAGCCUUACACACGUGGGCUUUGGACAGGGAAAUUUCCCUCCCAAUACCUCUAUUAAAACAAAUACAAUCUGAGUGUUCCGCAUGGCAGAUGGAAAAGGAGUGACCAAUUCCCUGCACCAUUAAAGGUGAACCAGCCCGAGGAAGGCUGCCCACCCACAUUUGGCAAAUAGAUUAUGUUGGUCCCUUACCAAUGGACAGAGUUCACUGGCAUAUUUGUACCUGUGUAACUUAUUCUGGCAUAUUGGUGGCAUGCCCAUAUAAGAAUGCCACUCAGAAAAAUACUUGUAGGACUAUAGAUAUCAUUACUUUAUAUUAUGAAUCCUCUCUACAAAUACAAAGUGACUGUAGAACACAUUUUAAGGGAAAAGAAAUAGACUACUAUUGUUCAUAUAGAAUGGAUUUAUCAUAUACCGUAUUAUCCCCAAGCAGUGGGACUCAUUGAAAGGAUGAAUAGGUUAUUAAAAGAGAAACUUAGACAACUUGUCAACAACUCUUAUGCACAUUGGAAAGAUAAUGUAUUUGAAGCUUUAUGAUAGCUAAACAAUUGGCCUCUAAAAGAGGGAUUAACCCCUUUAGGAUGAAUGAUGACCCCUAAUGUUCAAAUAAGGAUGCAGAGGCUGAAAAAUCUAACAUUGCAAUGGUGGGCUUGUGAUCCACAUUGGCCCAGAACCAGUGGUUUGCUCCAUGGCAUCUGGAGUGGCACAAUUAGUAAUUUCUACCUAUUUCAAGAAUCAAUGGGAGCAAGUAGCAGAACUACCUUCAAUUUCAACCAGGUAUGGAGGAUUUGGAAGUACUGAUUUAAGAGUAGGAUCUAAAGUAUGGGUUAAAAGAUAUGCCUCUCAUAUGCUUUGAGUUGGUGAGACAGUGGCAGAAGGCAAGGAUGUUACCAUGGUAGUGGCAUUUGUUGGAGAUGACGAAUUGUAUCAUUAUCCUCUAACACAAUUGUUUUUACGUGAAUAGUAUAUUACAGUUUAUCUUAUACUUAUUGGAAGAGCAAUGGCACAAUGGGAGAAGAAUACACUGGUGUGGGCAACCACUGGACUAUGAGACUGUUGGGUUUGCCAGGAACAUCCUCAAUCCAGAAAGAAACCUCCCAUCCCAUAGGAUGUGGACUGAAUAAGACAGCAGAACAAAUGCACAACCAUAUAUUUCCUCUAGAUAUGCUUCCUCCCCAUUAAUAAUAUCCCCUGAUCAAAAGACUUUAUUGAACAUUCCCUGCUUUUCCCCAGGAAAUCCAUUCUAUAAUGUGACAUAUAAUGAAAGUUAACAUUUUGGGAGGAUUUUAAUAUCCCUAGAAGAGAGGGCCCAAAUUGGCCCUUCCACCUAUUCAUGUUUUAGUAGUGAUGAUUUUAUGAAUUUCUUGCCUAAUUUUAUACAUAUAGCUUGUGAUAAUUAUACUCACUCUCCUACUCUAUUUAAUAGAAUUAGUGUCUAUAUGUAUUUGCCUACUAAUUGUUCUUACUGGUUUACACUAAACUGCUUGACUUCUUUCAUUUCAUCAAGGUUACAAGCUUUUUUUUUUUACAAGUGAAGCCCUUGUAUUGGUUCUCUCCAUAUGGGUGAUGCUUGUGGUAUGCCCCAUAGGAGAUGUUGUUUCCAAUCCAUGGAUAGGUCAUAUCUAGAGGUCGACUGAAUGGUUAAUGUGUAAGAUCUUCCUUACCCACAACCCAAGCCAAGGGACAAGGAACUUCCUUAACAUAUUGUUCUGGAACUUGUUUCAACCCAGACCCACCUUGGGGAACUAUUCCUUAAAAACAGGUCUUGAGGUAAACAUCCAGGAACUUGGCCAGUUCCUGGGUAUUGACCUGAGACAUUUUUCACAUAACACAGAUUGUUCUUGAGGUCAGAGAGUUUUGGCCAAAACUCUCAGGUCCUUAGGAUUAAUCACCUCUUCCCUGGCUCCCUGACUUCUUUGUGUAAGGAUGACAAAACGGGUCUUUCUUGGGAAAGUGACUUUGGGAGUCUCCCCCAGAGAGGACGCUCUGCCGUAGGGACUUUCCCAACUGAGACCCUGAGGGCUGUGAUACAGGGAUACAGGACUCCCCCAGCCAGAUGUGCAGGAGUUGGUGCUUCCUUGGACUGAUUUCACUUGCCUCAAUAACCUGUGAUCUGGCACUAUAAUCAUUCAUUAUUGACCAUCUUGGAAUUCCUUACCUCCUAAAGAUCUUCCACCAUUACUGGUCUGCCAGUCGUCAACCCUGGAUCACCCACACCAUCUGACUACUCUGUUUCUGCUCUUGGGUUUCUGGUAAGUCAGUGGAGAAAUGCUAAAAAUUGAACUGAUUUCAUCCCUUUUGAAUGGAUGGUAUAUGACAUCAGCUGGGUUCUUUUUUCAGACCUUGAAACUUUGGGCAAAUGGCUUCACCACUUUGGACCUGAGUUCCCUUAUCUAUAAAGUGAGAGGAUUGGAUUAGACCAUUUCCAAGACCUCUCCCAGCUCUAACAAUCUAAGAUGAUAUUCUCUGGCCCCACAAUGGCUAAUCCCAGCUACAAUUGUACAGCAACCAAAAGUAUCUUCUUCAAUCUCCUCUUUCCAUUUCAGCCUCUCUUUAUACCAGAGUAAAUAUUUCUCUCAGAUGCUUGGUACUGAUAAGGCUGGGAUCUAGACUGCAAAAAGGAAAAACUCUGGACUUUUCCACAUGGCCAAAUUUCUGGUGUUUACCUGAGGCUAUA